CUGCCCUGCUUUUUGUGCUCAGACUUCAACCACUUGCACAGAAAUGCUUGUGAAGGUGCCCCCAAGUGAGGAGCUGGGCAAGGGCACACAGAGAAUUGUCAGAAUAAACACAUAUAGUAAAAACAGCUGCAUUCUCACUAUAAAAAUAUCUCCCUGCUAGACUUUGGGCUGAGUGAACUGAUGGCAUCCAGGAAAUAAAUGUUUACAAAUGUCUAAACUGGAAUUUAUAAACAUGCGAUAACAGCUUCAGUGAACCAGCCAUCAGAUCCUAAAACCUUUGUCCAUAUGAAAAUGCUUGAACUGCUUUGGUAAAACUGAAAGAGUAGAACAAACAAACCAAUAAAAAACAACAGUAAUGCUGAAGCAUUUCCACUCCAAUUUACACAGUUCCUAGGAGGUAUGACACAGUUAGCACCACCCAUACGCCCGAGUCAGGUCUGAGUCCAACAUGGAAAAUACAUCUGUGUGGUAUUGCUGUGUCGUUAAGGAGUCUGCUCCUUCAAAGGAAAGGUUAAAUCAAGCUCCCUAAUCUCUGGAUGAAUAAUCUCAUUAUUUUCCUGAGAAAACAUCUCACCUAGCAAAUACAGUGGAGUCUUGCCCAGACAUGUUUUCUAUAGGUGGGAAUUGGUAAUACGUGGAUGAGGGCGUGGAAUGGCCCUUCUUGGUGAAGUCUCUCUCCAUUAAUCACUGCAUGUCUCAUGCCCCACAAAAAGUGUUGAUGGAACGGGUUUAGACACACUUUUGAGUUAGAACAAAACCCAUGUCACACCAGCUCAGCUAGCACUGGGUAUUGUGUUUGUAGUUGCCUGGUGUGAUGCAAUGGAAAAUUGUGAAUAAAAUUCUGAUGCGCUGUCAGCUCCCGUGAGCUUUAUCUGCAGGCAAGAGGGUGUCACAGAAACAGAGCAGCUCCCCAGGUCUUGCCACAGACACCUCCCUGGGACAGGGGGAGGAAGGGAAGACUGAAAUUGCCAUUGUGGUCUGCAUGAGUCAAGUUUGAAUGUACAGCCAAAGAAAUAAUGCAGAUUCAUGAGCCAAAGGCUGGGCUCAGUGAACCUCCUACAGGAUUAUUCCAGGACAGCCUCAGACUCUACAGAGAAACUGGAAACAUUAACAUUCAGUAUGCUUAAUCAGGCUGCUAUGUUUGGGCAGGAUUUCCAAGAGGAGCAGUCCAAAAUGAGAGACGGGAGAUGCUGCUGGCCUUGCCAUCAAAGCACUGCUGUGGCCAGACGAGAACCUCCAGGGGCUGUGACUUUCCCACCAGCUUUAGAAGCAACUUCCAAAGUGGCCCAGGCACUCUGUUAUCUUCAUACAGGCUUGGUCCUGCUUCUCCUCAAAUCAGUGGGAAUUCCUGAAGUCUGUUGAAAAGGAAUCAGAACCUGUGAAAUUUUGGGUCAAUGCAGGUUCAACAAGGUGAAGUGAUGUGCUUUUUAAAACAAUAUGAAACUCGAGCACUUUAAAAGCUAAACAGCUUGAUUCAGAAAUGUCAAAAUUAAAGCUCUGUACACAGCUUCCAUUCUCCUUUACCUGUGUGCAUUGCAACAUGGCCUAUACAACAAUGCUCUGCUUUCUCCAGAGAUGUACAGGACAGGAAUGUGUCUGAGAUUACUUGGUUUCUGUAAAAUCUUUCUUACCUCACACAUAAAAGUUGGUUGGCUGAGGAUCAGUCAUGAGAUACAGGGAGAAAUGUGCUUGCAGUUCUUGGCUAUGAUCUUAAUUGUGGCA